AGGUGAACCUGCGGAAGGAUCAUUACUGAGUUAGGGUCCUCUGGGCCCGACCUCUAACCCUUGUCUAUUCUACCAUGUUGCUUCGGCGGGCCCGUCUCUGACCGCCGGGGGCGCUCUUGCCCCUGGCCAGCGCCCGUCGACAGCCCAUUCCAGAAUCGUUUCCAAACGUGAUCGUCUGAGCAAAAGGAUUUGUAUAAUCGUUAAAACAAAACUUUCAACAACGGAUCUCUUGGUUCUGG
rnacentral:misc_RNA from 1 species